rnacentral:rRNA from 1 species
GACGAACGCUGGCGGCGUGCUUAACACAUGCAAGUCGAACGGAAAGGCCCUGCUUGCAGGGUACUCGAGUGGCGAACGGGUGAGUAACACGUGGGUGAUCUGCCCUUCACUUCGGGAUAAGCCUGGGAAACUGGGUCUAAUACCGGAUAGGAGCCAUUUUUAGUGUGAUGGUUGGAAAGUUUUUUCGGUGUAGGAUGAGCUCGCGGCCUAUCAGCUUGUUGGUGGGGUAAUGGCCUACCAAGGCGGCGACGGGUAGCCGGCCUGAGAGGGUGGACGGCAACAUUGGGACUGAGAUACGGCCAAGACUCCUACGGGAGGCAGCAGUGGGGAAUAUGGCACAAUGGGCGAAAGCCUGAUGAAGCGACGCCGCGUGGGGGAUGACGGCCUUCGGGUUGUAAACUCCUUUCGCUAGGGACGAAGCUUUUUGUGAAGGUACCUAGAUAAGAAGCACCGGCUAAAUACGUG